rnacentral:rRNA from 1 species
GGUUAAGCGACUAAGCGUACACGGUGGAUGCCCUGGCAGUCAGAGGCGAUGAAGGACGUGCUAAUCUGCGAAAAGCGUCGGUAAGGUGAUAUGAACCGUUAUAACCGGCGAUGUCCGAAUGGGGAAACCCAGUGCAAUUCGUUGCACUAUCGUUAACUGAAUACAUAGGUUAACGAGGCGAACCGGGGAACUGAAACAUCUAAGUACCCCGAGGAAAAGAAAUCAACCGAGAUUCCCCCAGUAGCGGCGAGCGAACGGGGAGCAGCCCAGAGUCUGAAUCAGCUUGUGUGUUAGUGGAACGGUCUGGAAAGUCCGACGGUACAGGGUGAUAGUCCCGUACACCAAAAUGCACAGGUUGUGAACUCGAAGAGUAGGGCGGGACACGUGGUAUCCUGUCUGAAUAUGGGGGGACCAUCCUCCAAGGCUAAAUACUCCUGACUGACCGAUAGUGAACCAGUACCGUGAGGGAAAGGCGAAAAGAACCCCGGCGAGGGGAGUGAAAAAGAACCUGAAACCGUGUACGUACAAGCAGUGGGAGCACCUUCGGGUGUGACUGCGUACCUUUUGUAUAAUGGGUCAGCGACUUAUAUUCUGUAGCAAGGUUAACCGUAUAGGGGAGCCGCAGGGAAACCGAGUCUUAACUGGGCGUUAAGUUGCAGGGUAUAGACCCGAAACCCGGUGAUCUAGCCAUGGGCAGGUUGAAGGUUGGGUAACACUAACUGGAGGACCGAACCGACUAAUGUUGAAAAAUUAGCGGAUGACUUGUGGCUGGGGGUGAAAGGCCAAUCAAACCGGGAGAUAGCUGGUUCUCCCCGAAAGCUAUUUAGGUAGCGCCUCGUGAAUUCAUCUUCGGGGGUAGAGCACUGUUUCGGCUAGGGGGUCAUCCCGACUUACCAACCCGAUGCAAACUACGAAUACCGAAGAAUGUUAUCACGGGAGACACACGGCGGGUGCUAACGUCCGUCGUGAAGAGGGAAACAACCCAGACCGCCAGCUAAGGUCCCAAAGUCAUGGUUAAGUGGGAAACGAUGUGGGAAGGCACAGACAGCCAGGAUGUUGGCUUAGAAGCAGCCAUCAUUUAAAGAAAGCGUAAUAGCUCACUGGUCGAGUCGGCCUGCGCGGAAGAUGUAACGGGGCUAAACCAUGCACCGAAGCUGCGGCAGCGACACUAUGUGUUGUUGGGUAGGGGAGCGUUCUGUAAGCCUGCGAAGGUGUGCUGUGAGGCAUGCUGGAGGUAUCAGAAGUGCGAAUGCUGACAUAAGUAACGAUAAAGCGGGUGAAAAGCCCGCUCGCCGGAAGACCAAGGGUUCCUGUCCAACGUUAAUCGGGGCAGGGUGAGUCGACCCCUAAGGCGAGGCCGAAAGGCGUAGUCGAUGGGAAACAGGUUAAUAUUCCUGUACUUGGUGUUACUGCGAAGGGGGGACGGAGAAGGCUAUGUUAGCCGGGCGACGGUUGUCCCGGUUUAAGCAUGUAGGCUGAUUAUCCAGGCAAAUCCGGAUAAUCAAGGCUGAGGUGUGAUGACGAGGCACUACGGUGCUGAAGUAACAAAUGCCCUGCUUCCAGGAAAAGCCUCUAAGCAUCAGGUAACAUCAAAUCGUACCCCAAACCGACACAGGUGGUCAGGUAGAGAAUACCAAGGCGCUUGAGAGAACUCGGGUGAAGGAACUAGGCAAAAUGGUGCCGUAACUUCGGGAGAAGGCACGCUGGUGUGUAGGUGAAGCCCCUGCGGGUGGAGCUGAGACCAGUCGAAGAUACCAGCUGGCUGCAACUGUUUAUUAAAAACACAGCACUGUGCAAACACGAAAGUGGACGUAUACGGUGUGACGCCUGCCCGGUGCCGGAAGGUUAAUUGAUGGGGUUAUCCGUAAGGAGAAGCUCUUGAUCGAAGCCCCGGUAAACGGCGGCCGUAACUAUAACGGUCCUAAGGUAGCGAAAUUCCUUGUCGGGUAAGUUCCGACCUGCACGAAUGGCGUAAUGAUGGCCAGGCUGUCUCCACCCGAGACUCAGUGAAAUUGAACUCGCUGUGAAGAUGCAGUGUACCCGCGGCAAGACGGAAAGACCCCGUGAACCUUUACUAUAGCUUGACACUGAACAUUGAGCCUUGAUGUGUAGGAUAGGUGGGAGGCUUUGAAGCGUGGACGCCAGUCUGCGUGGAGCCAACCUUGAAAUACCACCCUUUAAUGUUUGAUGUUCUAACGUUGGCCCUUACCGGGGUUGCGGACAGUGUCUGGUGGGUAGUUUGACUGGGGCGGUCUCCUCCCAAAGCGUAACGGAGGAGCACGAAGGUUAGCUAAUCCUGGUCGGACAUCAGGAGGUUAGUGCAAUGGCAUAAGCUAGCUUGACUGCGAGCGUGACGGCGCGAGCAGGUGCGAAAGCAGGUCAUAGUGAUCCGGUGGUUCUGAAUGGAAGGGCCAUCGCUCAACGGAUAAAAGGUACUCCGGGGAUAACAGGCUGAUACCGCCCAAGAGUUCAUAUCGACGGCGGUGUUUGGCACCUCGAUGUCGGCUCAUCACAUCCUGGGGCUGAAGUAGGUCCCAAGGGUAUGGCUGUUCGCCAUUUAAAGUGGUACGCGAGCUGGGUUUAGAACGUCGUGAGACAGUUCGGUCCCUAUCUGCCGUGGGCGCUGGAGAAUUGAGGGGGGCUGCUCCUAGUACGAGAGGACCGGAGUGGACGCAUCACUGGUGUUCGGGUUGUCAUGCCAUGGCACUGCCCGGUAGCUAAAUGCGGAAGAGAUAAGUGCUGAAAGCAUCUAAGCACGAAACUUGCCCCGAGAUGAGUUCUCCCUGAGACUUUAAGUCUCCUGAAGGAACGUUGAAGACGACGACGUUGAUAGGCCGGGUGUGUAAGCGCAGCGAUGCGUUGAGCUAACCGGUACUAAUGAACCGUGAGGCUUAACCUU